GAUGAACGCUAGCUAUAGGCUUAACACAUGCAAGUCGAGGGACCGGCGCACGGGUGAGUAACGCGUAUCCACCCUACCCAUAACUAAGGGAUAACCCAGCGAAAGUUCGACUAAUACCUUCUGGUUAUGGAUGGGGAUGCGUCUGAUUAGCUUGUUGGCGGGGUAAAGGCCCACCAAGGCAACGAUCAGUAGGGGUUCUGAGAGGAAGGUCCCCCAGAGUGGAACUGAGACACGGGCCAAAGUCCUACGGGAGGAAGCAGUGAGGAAGAUUGGUCAAUGGACGCAAGUCUGAACGAGCCAAGUAGCGUGCAGGAUGACGGCCUAUGGGUGGUAAACUGCUUUUAGAUGGGGAUAGGUACCAUAUGAAGAAGGACCGGCUAAUUCCGUGCCAGCCGCCGCGGUAAUAC
rnacentral:rRNA from 1 species